rnacentral:misc_RNA from 1 species
UUAUACCAAAAUUUUCUUAAGACAGAGACCUACAAUUUCUAUGUUUUGACCCAGACUUAUUUCUUAGGGCAAAGUAGUUGAAAUUCUAGAGUAAUUUGGAAUUGCAAAAUUGGAAUUUUUGGAAUUCCUGCAAUCAGCCUGUGAUCUUCGUGUAGUAAACAGGGCAUAUCUCCCUCUGUACGUCUCUAAUUGAGGUGCUACAAUUUGCUUUGAAAA